GAUGAACGCUGGCGGCGUGCCUAAUACAUGCAAGUCGAGCGAACAGACGAGGAGCUUGCUCCUCUGACGUUAUCGGCGGACGGGUGAGUAACACGUGGAUAACCUACCUUUAAGACUUGGAUAACUUCGGGAAACCGGAGCUAAUACCGGAUAAUAUAUUGAACCGCAUGGUUCAAUAGUGAAAUACGGUUUUGCUGUCACUUAUAGAUGUUUCCGCGCCGCAUUAGCUAGUUGGUAAGGUAACGGCUUACCAAGGCAACGAUGCGUAGCCGACCUGAGAGGGUGAUCAGCCACACUGGAACUGAGACACGGUCGAGACUCCUACGGGAGGCAGCAGAAGGGAAUCGUCCGCAAUGGGCGAAAGCCUGACGGAGCAACGCCGCGUGAGUGAUGAAGGACUUCGGAUCGUAAAACUCUGUUAUUAGGGAAGAACAAAUGUGUAAGUAACUAUGCACGUCUUGACGGUACCUAAUCAGAAAGCCACGGCUAACUACGUG
rnacentral:rRNA from 1 species